rnacentral:tRNA from 1 species
GAGGGUAUAACUCAGUGGUAGAGCACAUGAUUAGCAUGCAUGAGGUCAUGGGUUCAAUCCUCAGUUCCUCUG